AGUGAACGCUGGCGGUAGGCCUAACACAUGCAAGUCGAACGGCAGCACAGUAAGAGCUUGCUCUUACGGGUGGCGAGUGGCGGACGGGUGAGGAAUACAUCGGAAUCUACUUUUUCGUGGGGGAUAACGUAGGGAAACUUACGCUAAUACCGCAUACGACCUACGGGUGAAAGCAGGGGAUCUUCGCACCUUGCGCGAUUGAAUGAGCCGAUGUCGGAUUAGCUAGUUGGCGGGGUAAAGGCCCACCAAGGCGACGAUCCGUAGCUGGUCUGAGAGGAUGAUCAGCCACACUGGAACUGAGACACGGUCCAGACUCCUACGGGAGGCAGCAGUGGGGAAUAUUGGACAAAGGGCGCAAGCCUGAUCCAGCCAUACCGCGUGAGUGAAGAAGGCCUUCGGGUUGUAAAGCCCUUUUGUUGGGAAAGAAAAGCAGCAGGUUAAUACCCCGCUGUUCUGACGGUACCCAAAGAAUAAGCACCGGCUAACUUCGUG
rnacentral:rRNA from 1 species